GCGAGGCGUCGCGGCGAAGGACGAUAAGAUGGCCGGCGUGCUCUCUUGGGGCGACGCGUCGCGGUGCUCCGGUUCCGCCAAAUGACGGGAGAGGGCCAGGCGUGGCUUGGCGUAGCCAAGAGCCACGAGUUCGUCGGCGCCGGCCUCCGGAGCUGGCCUUGGCGGGCUGAAGCGUCGCGGCGGAGGGCGAUAAGGCGGCCGGCUUGCUCUCUUGGGGCGAGGCGCCGCGGCGCUCCGGCUCCGGCAGAGGGCCAGGCGUGGCUUGGCGUCGCCAAGAGCCACGAGGUCGUCGGCGCCGGCCUCUGCGCCAUGCUGGACAAGCUGCUGCUGCCCCCCUGCGCCGCCCAGCUUCAGUUCUCUGAAUCCUUAAUUUCGUGUGGUGAUUUGGACGGAAUUGAAGACCGCGUCCUUCUGCAACACAAAUCAAUGUCCAAUGUAAUCGAGUUGGAGUCUGUGUUCCUUUCUGACACAAAAGCAUGUACUGCCCGACACGGAUUGGACUUGGCUUCCAUAAGAAGGAAGGAUCCUCGACCGGAACGUCCAUUAGGCUGCAAUUGCAUUGCAACUUUCAGAGGAACGUCCAAUGUUGCCGGCGGAGGAAAAUCAUCCUUUGAGCCAUACUAUGCCGAGUUCGCCUGCAGAAGAAGAACACCCGAUGAGCUGUCCAUCGCCUGAGGCGGCUACACCAGAGGUGCCAACGGUGUCUGAUCAAACUCAGGUGGAACCAAGGAGGUUCGGCUCUCGGACAUUGCACCAAUGACGCUGGAUGAUACCGACGUGCAUACUGUUGCAAUCACGAACGAGCAGCAAAUUUUGCACUGAACUACUGGCAUAAGGCAGUGAAAUACUUUUUGCUCACGUGAGUGGAAGUUUGGAACAUAAGAAGAACAAAUAACAAAGUGUAUGCACUACACAUAUGCUACUACUUAGAUCCUUAUUGCUUGUCUUGCAAUGAAAGAGUACAUGUCCUUCCAUAUAUAUAGGACUUACAAACUAACUAAGGACCGAGUAUUUCUACUAGCAGCUUAUUACUCAUCUUUGCAAUUUUAUUGUCUCGGAAGCAUAAAGGUAAAAUUUAAUAAAUCUCUUUCUUUUAAAUGGGCUCUGUUCUGAAUCUGCAUUAGCAUAUCAAGGCCAUAGACCAUAGAUAUGAAUAAUUGACAGGUUGCUCUUUUCUCAUAUUUUAAGUUGAUAGGGAAAUUUUACAGAUCACAUGCUUAUAGGAAUGACUCAAUAUUCUCAUGGCAGAAUGAGGAUGGGGUAUUCUGUGAUCCAACAUAUGUUCUACCAUCAGGGCUGAUGGCAUUCUUUGGCAAUGCUAAGCCGCUUGAUAAAUCAUGGCAUGAGAUGGGCCUUGGAUAUAAUUCAAGCAUCAGCCCUUGGUGAUCUGUGGUGAUGCAGUGAUGCACCUUACUGGAAAUAUGAACCAUAGCUUCACCGGCCGAGCUU